ensembl:snoRNA
AGCCUGUGAUGUCAAAUUGAACUCAUUUUUCUGACACCUACUAUGAGAGCUGAACCACAGCUCCUGAUUCUGACUUGAUUCUGAGGCUG